UCAAACUUGGUCAUUUAGAGGAAGUAAAAGUCGUAACAAGGUCUCCGUUGGUGAACCAGCGGAGGGAUCAUUAUCGAGUUUCUGAACUCCAAACCUUUGUGAACCUUACCAUCGUUGCUUCGGCGGGAUGCCCCAGGUGCCGCCCGGCACCCGGAUCCAGGCGCCCGCCGGGGGACCCAAACUCUUGUUUUUCCAGUGGAAUCCUCUGAGUCUUGGCAUAAAUAAGCAAUCAAAACUUUCAGCAACGGAUCUCUUGGUUCUGGCAUCGAUGAAGAACGCAGC
rnacentral:misc_RNA from 1 species